rnacentral:rRNA from 1 species
AGUGAACGCUGGCUGUAGGCCUAACACAUGCAAGUCGAACGGCAGCACAGUAAGAGCUUGCUCUUACGGGUGGCGAGUGGCGGACGGGUGAGGAAUACAUCGGAAUCUACUUUUUCGUGGGGGAUAACGUAGGGAAACUUACGCUAAUACCGCAUACGACCUACUGGUGAAAGCAGGGGAUCUUCGGACCUUGCGCGAUUGAAUGAGCCGAUGUCGGAUUAGCUAGUUGGCGGGGUAAAGGCCCACCAAGGCGACGAUCCGUAGCUGGUCUGAGAGGAUGAGAAGCCACACUGGAACGGAGACAAGGUCCAGACUCCUACGGGAGGCAGCAGUGGGGAAUAUUGAACAAGGGGAGCAAGCCUGAUCCAGCCAUACCGCGUGGGUGAAGAAGGCCUUCGGGUAGUAAAGCCCUUUUGUUGGGAAAGAAAAGCAGCAGGUUAAUACCCCGCUGUUCUGACGGUACCCAAAGAAUAAGCACCGGCUAACUUCGUG